AAAUUGAAGAGUUUGAUCAUGGCUCAGAUUGAACGCUGGCGGCAGGCCUAACACAUGCAAGUCGAACGGUAACAGGAAGCAGCUUGCUGCUUCGCUGACGAGUGGCGGACGGGUGAGUAAUGUCUGGGAAACUGCCUGAUGGAGGGGGAUAACUACUGGAAACGGUGGCUAAUACCGCAUAACGUCGCAAGACCAAAGAGGGGGACCUUCGGGCCUCUUGCCAUCAGAUGUGCCCAGAUGGGAUUAGCUUGUUGGUGAGGUAACGGCUCACCAAGGCGACGAUCCCUAGCUGGUCUGAGAGGAUGACCAGCCACACUGGAACUGAGACACGGUCCAGACUCCUACGGGAGGCAGCAGUGGGGAAUAUUGCACAAUGGGC
rnacentral:rRNA from 1 species